rnacentral:rRNA from 1 species
UGUUUGAUGUUCUAACGUUGACCCGUAAUCCGGGUUGCGGACAGUGUCUGGUGGGUAGUUUGACUGGGGCGGUCUCCUCCUAAAGAGUAACGGAGGAGCACGAAGGUUGGCUAAUCCUGGUCGGACAUCAGGAGGUUAGUGCAAUGGCAUAAGCCAGCUUGACUGCGAGCGUGACGGCGCGAGCAGGUGCGAAAGCAGGUCAUAGUGAUCCGGUGGUUCUGAAUGGAAGGGCCAUCGCUCAACGGAUAAAAGGUACUCCGGGGAUAACAGGCUGAUACCGCCCAAGAGUUCAUAUCGACGGCGGUGUUUGGCACCUCGAUGUCGGCUCAUCACAUCCUGGGGCUGAAGUAGGUCCCAAGGGUAUGGCUGUUCGCCAUUUAAAGUGGUACGCGAGCUGGGUUUAGAACGUCGUGAGACAGUUCGGUCCCUAUCUGCCGUGGGCGCUGGAGAACUGAGGGGGGCUGCUCCUAGUACGAGAGGACCGGAGUGGACGCAUCACUGGUGUUCGGGUUGUCAUGCCAAUGGCACUGCCCGGUAGCUAAAUGCGGAAGAGAUAAGUGCUGAAAGCAUCUAAGCACGAAACUUGCC